UGCAAGCGUUAUCCGGAAUGAUUGGGCGUAAAGCGUCCGCAGGUGGCUGUGUAAGUCUGCUGUUAAAGAGUGAGGCUCAACCUCAUAAAAGCAGUGGAAACUACACGGCUAGAGUGCGUUCGGGGCAGAGGGAAUUCCUGGUGUAGCGGUGAAAUGCGUAGAUAUCAGGAAGAACACCGGUGGCGAAAGCGCUCUGCUAGGCCGCAACUGACACUGAGGGACGAAAGCUAGGGGAGCGAAUGGG
rnacentral:rRNA from 1 species